AGUGAACGCUGGCGGUAGGCCUAACACAUGCAAGUCGAACGGCGGCACAGUAAGAGCUUGCUCUUACGGGUGGCGAGUGGCGGACGGGUGAGGAAUACAUCGGAAUCUACUUUUUCGUGGGGGAUAACGUAGGGAAACUUACGCUAAUACCGCAUACGACCUACGGGUGAAAGCAGGGGAUCUUCGGACCUUGCGCGAUUGAAUGAGCCGAUGUCGGAUUAGCUAGUUGGCGGGGUAAAGGCCCACCAAGGCGACGAUCCGUAGCUGGUCUGAGAGGAUGAUCAGCCACACUGGAACUGAGACACGGUCCAGACUCCUACGGGAGGCAGCAGUGGGGAAUAUUGGACAAUGGGCGCAAGCCUGAUCCAGCCAUACCGCGUGGGUGAAGAAGGCCUUCGGGUUGCAAAGCCCUUUUGUUGGGAAAGAAAAGCAGCAGGUUAAUACCCCGCUGUUCUGACGGUACCCAAAGAAUAAGCACCGGCUAACUUCGUG
rnacentral:rRNA from 1 species